rnacentral:rRNA from 1 species
UGGGGAAUAUUGCACAAUGGGCGCAAGCCUGAUGCAGCCAUGCCGCGUGUGUGAAGAAGGCCUUCGGGUUGUAAAGCACUUUCAGCGAGGAGGAAGGUGGUGGACUUAAUACGUUCAUCAAUUGACGUUACUCGCAGAAGAAGCACCGGCUAACUCCGUGCCAGCAGCCGCGGUAAUACGGAGGGUGCAAGCGUUAAUCGGAAUUACUGGGCGUAAAGCGCACGCAGGCGGUUUGUUAAGUCAGAUGUGAAAUCCCCGGGCUCAACCUGGGAACUGCAUUUGAAACUGGCAAGCUAGAGUCUCGUAGAGGGGGGUAGAAUUCCAGGUGUAGCGGUGAAAUGCGUAGAGAUCUGGAGGAAUACCGGUGGCGAAGGCGGCCCCCUGGACGAGGACUGACGCUCAGGUGCGAAAAGCGUGGGGAGCAAAACAGGAUUAGAUACCCUGGUAGGUCCACGCUGUAAAACGAUGUCGAUUUUGGAGGUUGUGCCCUUGAGGCGU